rnacentral:misc_RNA from 1 species
ACUAUCCGUCCUACCCAUAUCCAUAAUCACAUCACACGCACGCCGACACGCACACAGCUCCAAAUUACCAUAAAGUAACAUCCACAAUAAAUUCAUCAUAUACAUAUGCAAUACAAGGUGUGCCUAAUAAUUAACUAUAUACAUAUAUUUAUAAGUGAAUACAUAAGCAUGUCUUGAAUAGAUAAUAAUAUUGAAAUUAUAAGUA